rnacentral:lncRNA from 1 species
UCUGCUUGCGCAACCAGAGCAAAAAAUGCUGGUUUUGGUUUCAGAAAUCUUCCUCUGUUUUUAGUACAUAGUUCAAACCAGGCUGUUCCUGCAGAUCUUACUGCAGGAAGCUGGACUUCCUCAACUCUGUCAGAAGCACAGCAGGAUAAAGGCACAACAGCAGCCCAUUUCUUUUUACUGGAAGUCUUAGAGACUUGGUUUUUUGAAUCAGAAGAGUUAACUCAACCUUGAAAUGCCUACAGACAAAACUGCAGCAGCUCAAAUUGUCACACAGAAUCUCACUCAGAUGGGAAAAUUCUGGAUCCCUUUGCUCUCCAAAGCACCUCCAUCUGACAGUGGAAGCAAACAGACCUACUGUUUGAGAUCUCUAGUCCUGAAUGAGUUAAAGAAAGCCACAAGAGAAGAUAGAUUCACUAGAAGUUAGGCAGAAAAUUGGAAAAGAAGAGAAGUAAAGGCAAACUGACAACAGCUGUUCACCAGUGUGGCACACAGACUUAUGCAGGUCUCAAGAGUGGAAACCAAAGCAAAGAGCCAUGCUUCCAGAAGAAACUAAUUAUUCUGGGUCCAUGAGGGACAAACUGGACCACACAGUUUACAAUCAAAACCCAAACUCCAAAUGCAUUAUGCUAAUCCUCAGACCUUUAAAGAUCUUACCUGCAGUUGUGCCUGUCUCAUCACUUGGAGUUUGUUAAACAUUGUUCAUUAAAGAAACUAUUUGGUAUGAGG